UGAACGCUGACAGAAUGCUUAACACAUGCAAGUCAACUUGAACUUCGGUUUGGGUGGCGGACGGGUGAGUAACGCGUAAAGAACUUGCCUCACAGCUAGGGACAACAUUUGGAAACGAAUGCUAAUACCUGAUAUUAUGAUUUUAGGGCAUCCUAGAAUUAUGAAAGCUAUAUGCGCUGUGAGAGAGCUUUGCGUCCCAUUAGCUAGUUGGAGAGGUAACGGCUCACCAAGGCGAUGAUGGGUAGCCGGCCUGAGAGGGUGAACGGCCACAAGGGGACUGAGACACGGCCCUUACUCCUACGGGAGGCAGCAGUGGGGAAUAUUGGACAAUGGACCAAGAGUCUGAUCCAGCAAUUCUGUGUGCACGAUGAAGUUUUUCGGAAUGUAAAGUGCUUUCAGUUGGGAAGAAAAAAAUGACGGUACCAACAGAAGAAGUGACGGCUAAAUACGUG
rnacentral:rRNA from 1 species